CAACAUGUCUAACAAACGAUCAAAUGUCUCGAACAGUCCAUGAGUCUAACAGUCCAAACCAAUCUAAAUCAUUGUAAAACAAUUUUAAUUACAGUCCAAACUACUACAAUCAACUAUGAUAAAACACGGCAAUAACUGAAGCUUCCAAUGAAGUUAUACGUCCAUUUCAUUUCAUUCCAACUAGACAGCUACAUGAUUUGAGAUUCAGGACAUGUACCUGAUAUUUAGACCACAAAACAAAGAAGAGUUGGAAGUCAGCUGAAGCAACGCACGAGCAGCAGUAGCAGUAAGCAAUUUUCAAUGGUACGGAACAACAAACAACCCAGAAAAUGAAUCCAUAAAUUCCAGGAAGGUUCAGAAUUCAAAUGAAACAAGCAUAUUAAACCAAAACCCUUGAAAUGCACUCAAUUAUACUAGAAAGGCAUCGGCAUAUUUUAACAGAACCAAAUCUCAAUCAAACACAAUCUAAUUAGACCCAAAAACUGCUUGAAAUCACCCAGCAACCAUUCUGAACAUCAGCAAUCAAAGAGUGAACUAGAGGAUGUGAAUUAGUAACUAGAACAUCAACAUCAGUCUACAAUUUCCAAUGAAAUAGUGUUUUUUUUUUGAGUUUUUGUUUGUUUUUAGUUUUUUUUUUAAAUUUAAAUUUCUGCUUCAAAUCUGAAAAUUUCAGAGAGAGAGAGAGAGAGAGAGAGUUUUGGGGGAAUUAGAUGGCUGAAAAAAACCUCCCCAUUAAGGCAUUUAAGCAUGCCUUUUAUAGGCAGAGCUGAGGGCAGCCCUUAUUUUCUGUUUACAAAUCAGUCAUUUAUCUAUUUAUUCAAUUAGUCCCUUAUUUUGUAACUUGUUACCCAAGUAAUCCCAUUAAAAUUAUUGAAAUCUACACUAUAACCACUUUGGAAUGUUCUAGAAGAUUCUAGUUUCAACUAUCAUGUGUUACCCAAUCCUAAAUAUCUGAAAUACCCUUGAACUCAACCUGAAAUUACCUACUUCAGUUAACUGACCCAACCCCCUUAACAUUAGUUAAAACUAACAGCUAUAACCAAUCUCUUAAAUCUAAACUAGUUGCUGAAUUUCAAACCACCAAUUAUCGUUAACAAUCACACUAACUAAUCAAUUAUCCAUAAUAACAUCAGUAUGAAACUGGAAUAUUAAAUCCAUCUAAGGAAAUUUCUGACUAACAUCAUUAGCUUAAACUAAUUAAAAGCCAUACUAAAUAACAAAUUCAAACUAAUCGAGCCCAGACGAAGUCAAUUAAACUACCAAAGCAAAAGAUCGAACUAAUGUUUAAAACGGAAUUUAAACUAAAACUAGAACAACUUUAAAAACAGAAACAAUAUUGAAUCAAAACAGAACAAGUUUCAAUCUACCAAUCCAACUAAAACCAGAAAUUAAAACGAACUAGAAUUAAACAGUCAAAUCGGAAUAUGAAAUUAAACAGAAUUGACAAAAAUUGAAAGUAAACUAUAAAGUAACAAGUAUCAAAACAGAAGCAAAAGAGGAGAACUAAACAAAGAAAAGAAAAGAAGAAUCAAACUUCACUGACACGGCUCAAAAUUCUAUUACCUCUCGAUUUAAAAUUUGCCUGAUUCUGGGGAUGUUUGCAUGCCACUGAUGGUGAAUUCAUCACGAGGGAGGUGAGGUGACCAUGUGGAAUCAAUUUGGUGGAAUUUGGAGAAACCCGGGUUUUGUCGGAAAACUUCGAUUUAAUAUUCGAACAUAUCUGGUGAGAUUCGAAGGACGAGGUUUUGGGGGUUUGAAAGAUGAGGUCAAGUCGGUUCCAGGGUGUUAAUUUGGUUGGAUUUGGAGAGGGUGGUGCUCUGGCCGGAAAACUUCAAUCAAAGAUUCAAAGCUGUCGGAGUGGAUUCGAAGGAAGUGAGUGGCAUGGUUAGAAAAAGUGGAACGAGGAGAUUUUCAGGUGUAUUUCUGGUGGUCGUUGGCGUAGGUGGCGUUCGCCGGCGGCAUGUUACACCAGAGAGAACAGGGGCGGCUGGGAUUAGGGUUUGGUUUGAUUAGGAGGGGGAUCU
rnacentral:lncRNA from 1 species